rnacentral:pre_miRNA from 1 species
CAGGCGGUCACAAAGUACUCUGUCAAAGUGUGCUAAAAAUACAUCACUCAAAUACAUCACCCAUUUUGAGUGAUGUAUUUUUAGCACACUUUGACAGAGUACUUUGUGACCGCCUG